rnacentral:lncRNA from 1 species
AGAUUUUGUAGAAGAAUUAGAUUUGAUUUUGUUCUUAAAUUAAAUACUGUAAUGUAUUGAUUCGAGACAGAGAAGGAAAAUAUGAAGAUUUUAUAUUUGCCAUUUCGUUUUCUGAUCCGUUCUUUAUAUGUUCUUUAUCGAUCGACGGAAUAUGUUUAUUUCAAGACAGUUUUAGUUCUGUUUGGUAACUCCGAUGUCGUCGUCGUAGUCGUUCGAUGUUCAGCGGGAAUGAGCGAUGUAUGCCGUGACUACUUAUCGUCAUUGAUUGUCAUUCCAAUGUAUUCAAUCACCCAGCUUUAUAUCAAUUCGUGUGUAAUUAUGGGUGGUCUAGUGGGUAAGAGGUUAAGCGCAUGCGUAUGUGACCCGCUUGGGUAAAAGGUUGAUGGCUGAUGAAAGAUGGAGUUUUCCCGCCUCUACAGUUCCAUCUAAGUUCAUCCGAAAUUUUAUGUUUAGCAUCGGAUAACGUCGGUCGCUUCGAACGAAUGAAUAAGGAAUCAAC